CGGCAACGACGAAGACUAACCGUGCUGUUUACGUGACCAACUCGCUGUGACUCCCUUGGUAGAAAGGAAACUUCUUAGAAAAGUUCGUGCCCUCCCCCUCCCCCAUCAUGACUAAGGGUCUCCAGCUGAUGAGGUCGUGAGUGAUGAUCAGGGACUGAUGACUAGGCGAGAGGCUCCGGGGCGAGCCACUAGUUGCCCACAGGAACCUGUGUAAGCCGAGCUCUCGAGCGGCUGAGUUGAAUGAAGUUAUGACUGCGUUUGCUCUAAUGGGUUAUGGCUUCUCAGAUAGUUCCCACGAAGGGGAGCCCACCCACGGCGUCAGAGGCCCUGGUCGCGGUGCCAUUGACUGCAGGGACGAGGCAGAGAGAUGCCGCGGAAGAUGGUGGAUAGCUGUGAAGUUUCGGACCACCCAGCCCUUCCCAAUUUCCAGCUUCUCUCCGCCAAUCAAAAGUGCUGUGUUUGAAUGUCUUUCGUGCUUCCCGAUGUGCAAAAACUCAGUUACACCAUAGGAUGGGAAGACUUGCUUCCUAGCCUCAGACAACAUGGAAACGUAGAUUGGAAUGUAAGGUGAGAUGGAAAAGGAGCACUGUACACCAAUUGUCCUAGGUUCUUGGAAAGCUUAGACCACAUCUGGAGCCUCCAGUCCUCUACCUCCAUCGUAGAAGGUAGCAGAUGCAUCCUAGAAGAAGCCUGGACAGAACAGAGGCCAACUCAUUUCUAAGAUGCAGGUUAUUCUUGAAAUCCAAGAGCUGCAAAACAAAGAUGGGGUAUACACUGUAAAUUAGGGGGGCGCCUAUGUGAUGACUCACAGUCCCAGAAGAGGUCUGAGUUUGCAAAUCUCUGAGGAGAUGUUCCCAAAGUCUUGACAGAUCUAUGUUAAAGCAGAAACAAGGACAUCAUAUUCUCCAAUAUCACUGUGAUUCAAAUAUGAAUAGUGACCUGAAUGCCAGAAAUGUUAGCCAAGAAAUGGGAAAAGGAAUGAGCAGACCAGAGAUUUGGGUCUGCUGAGAAGACCGUGAACCCAAUGACUUGGAACAAGGACAAUUGUGGAAAGCCUGAAAUUCCAAGAGAAAAGGAGGAAUCUCUGGCCUCCACACUGGGCCUUUCUUGGUAUCCCCUGCUCCGUUUCCUGCCUUCUGUGUGGCAGGAUCUAAGUCUUGGAAUCAUCUGAUGUGUUGAGGAAAGGAGAGCAUUGGGAAGAACUUCCAUCCUGACUCUGUUACUAAUUGUACUGUCUGACCUUGGCACAUCAUUUUCCCUCUCUGGAUCUCAGUUUUUCCACUUAGAUAUGGCAUUAGAGUUGACAUUUGUUACAGGCUGAAUUGUAUCCCCCCCAAAUUCAUAUGUUGAAGUCUGACUCUCUCAAACUGUAACUGUGUCUGGAGAUGGGAUCUUUAAACAGGUGAUUCAGUUAAAAUAAGGAUGUUAGCAUGGGGCUCUAAUCCAACAUGACUGAUGUCCUUACCAGAAGAGAGACGCACCAGGGAUACAUGUGCACAGAGGGAAGACCAUGUUAGGACCAAGCAAGAGGGUGGCCAUCUGCAAGCCAAGGAGAGAGGCCUUGGAGGAAACCAAUCCUGCCCCCACCUUGAUCUUGCACUUUCAGCCUCCAGAACGGUGAGAAAUAAAUUUCCAUUGUUAACG
ensembl:lncRNA